UAUCUUGUCUCUAUUGUAUUUUUUGACAUACGGGAUAUAUCACUUCUUCAUAGCUUUGGGAUCAAACUUGUUCUUGUUCCUGGAAUCCAUGUAAAGAUAGAUAAGCUCUUGGCGGAGAGAGGAAAGAAGGCUAAGUAUGCUGGUCACUAAUGUAUCACCGAUUCAGAUGCAUUAGAGGCUGCAAUGGAGGCAGCGGGCAGAAUACGACUAAGUAUGGAAGCAAAGCUAUCUCCUGGACCCCCAAUGGGACAUGGUGUUAAUGGCAGUUGGCAUGAAAAGACUAAUGUUGCAAGUGGAAAUUUUCUUGGUGCUAAGGUUAGUUUACAUGUGUUGCUUCCUUACAUCAUACCAUCAUGGUGCAUUUGUAUUAUGGAUCACAUAAAAGGAUUCUAUGGAGUUAAGAUUUAG
rnacentral:rRNA from 1 species